GCAAGUCGAACGGUAGCAGGAAGUGCUUGCACUUUGCUGACGAGUGGCGGAUGGGUGAGUAAUACUUAGGGAUUUGCCUUUUGGAGGGGGAUAACCAUUGGAAACGAUGGCUAAUACCGCAUAACGUCUGAGGACCAAAGGGGGCGCUUGCGCUCUCGCCGAGAGAGGAACCUAAGCGAGAUUAGCUAGUUGGUGUGGUAAAGGCGCACCAAGGCGACGAUCUAUAGCUGGUCUGAGAGGAUGAUC
rnacentral:rRNA from 1 species